AUACUCGCUUCGGCAGCACAUAUAAUAAAACUAGAAGGAUACAGAGAAGAUUAGGAUGGCCCCUAUGCUAGGAUGAUGCGCAAAUUUGUGAAGCAUUCCAUAUUAAA